rnacentral:rRNA from 1 species
UACGAGGGGGGGCGAGCGUUGUUCGGAAUUAUUGGGCGUAAAGAGCUCGUAGGCGGUUUGUCGCGUCUGGUGUGAAAAAUCCAGGGCUUAACCCUGGACCUGCAUCGGGGUACGGGCAGACUAGAGUGCGGUAGGGGGAGAUCGGAAUUCCCGGUGUAGCAGUGAAAUGCGUAGAGAUCGGGAGGAACAUCUGUGGCGAAGGCGGCCAUCUGGACCAGCACUGACACUGAGGCACGAAAAGCGUGGGGGAGCAAAACAGG